UGCCGAGGUGCUGGUUGAAGCAGGCACCUUCUCCUGUCCGUGGCUGGCAGGACACUAACAGUUGGGCUGGGGGUCGCCCAUCCUGAAACUGGUCCGCCUUUGUUGUCCUCGGCGCAGGAGCUGGUCCCGUUGGGUGCCUGGAGCAGGGGCUGAGCACGGGGCAGCCCGCAGGUGGGAUCAGCAGGUCUGGGUGAAAUGUGGCUGUGACAGCCCAGCACGGGUCACCGUGGCGCAGACGCUGCAAGAAGUGCAAAAGCUCGCUUGAUCUUGAUUUUCAGUAUGAAUACAGACUGUGAAAGCAGGGCCUCACAAUCCUUCUGGCUUUUUGGGUUUUAGGCAGGAGGUGUCAGAAAAGUUACCCCAGGGAUAACUGGCUUGUGGCGGCCAAGCCUUCAUAGCGACGUCACUUUUUGACCCUUUGAUGUCGCCUUCAUAGCGACGUCACUUUUUGACCCUUUGAUGUCGGCUCUUCCUAUCAUUGUUCGCCAAGCGUUGGAUUGUUCACCCACUAAUAGGGCACGUGAGCUGGGUUUAGACUGUCGUGAGACAGGUUAGUGAUUCUACUGAU
rnacentral:ncRNA from 1 species